rnacentral:rRNA from 1 species
UUUAAUACAAUUUUUAAGUAGUAUAUACUUAUUAUAAAAACUCAUGUAGUUUGGCGGCAUCUUUAUUUUUAGAGGAACCUGUCUUUUAAUCGAUAAUCCACGAUAAUUUUUACUUAAUUUUAUGUUUUAUAUACCGCCAUCUAGAAUUUCUUUAAAUUUAUUAUUCUAAAUAAUAUUAACAUGUUAGGUAAAGGUGUAGAUUACAAUUAAGUUAAGGUGGGUUACUAUAAAUAUAAUUUAAGGAUAAAUUUAUAAAAAUAAAUUUCGAAAAAGGAUUUAAAAGUAAUUUAUUAAAUAAUAAUUAAUAAUGAAAUCUUUUAAAGAUGUGC